AGCUCUCUAGGCCUGGGUACCGGAGGGAGGGAGGUGGGCAGAGGAGGGGAGAUGGGCACCCCCAGUCUUUCCAUCCUCCUCAUUCGACUAGGGGCACCCGAAUCCCCUAUUCCUUAUUUCCCCUAUCACUCAGGCACUGGCAGGGUCCUUUGCCCACUCCUGUUGGCCGCUGCGGCUCCAAAGCGAGCUGGGCAGAUGUGCCUGAGACAGGUUUGACCAGGCAACUGAAAAGACAUCCCUAAGAGAAGACAAAGCAAAGGUAUGAAAGGAACACACAUCCCUGACUGACUAGGAGGAACAGAGCUGCCUGCUGUCUGGAACCGCUUCCUCCAAGACUAAGGUUUCCCAGAGGAAGAGAGAGAAUUUGGACAAAUGAAUGAGGAACAAUGCUCUCCUGAGAGUUUCUUUAAGGGGCGAGAAUCACUGCCGCUAGCUCCUUUGAAAGCAGAAUUAAGAGGCAGUGCAGGAAGGCACAGCAGGAAGGCUCAUGGUUAGACUACAGAGAAGGAAGCAGCCACUGCUGGGGACCUACCCUGUGCUGGUCACUGACAAGCUGUCUCAUUAAACCUUUCCGGACCCUCAA